AAUUGUUCUCUGGGCUUUGUUUGCAGAACCUGUUGAUGAUCUCCAGUUUCCAGAAGUAUUCUACAUGGAAAUAGUUACCAAUGUGCAAAAGGAGCACCAUUUUCUGGCAUCCCGAGCCACAAACCAGGUGUCUGGAGGUGUUGCUUUGUAAGGAAAAAGCCAGCAGCCAUCUGGCUUCCUCUCCAGAGCCAAUGUAAGGGAGUUGUUUUAAGGAUUGAGGAUACAGGACCUUGUAACAAGCUUACAACAGUAUUUGGCUCUCAAAUCUUAUUCAUCCAGACAGAAGAGGAGAACAAGCCUCGGAGCACCCCCAGGAGCUCUCCUGAAGCCGCCAGGAAUGGAGGAGCUCGCUUGGAAUCAGAGGCCCGUGUUCCCAACCCAGGGCUGCCCCUGCUGGAGAUGUGACCUCGGGCAGGCACACUGGGAAGCCUCUGGAAGCCCAGGCCUGCACGCGUGAAAGGGUCCCAGAGUGCAGCUUCUGUGAUGCUUCAACAUCAGGGCUGAAGACCCUCCGGCACCCACAGGAGGAUCUGCUGCAUCAGCCCAGGUGCCAGCCAGGGAAGGCUCUUGCAGAACUGGAGGCAUCCACAGGCUGUCUUCCGCACCUGAACAAGGCCCUCGUGGGGGGACUCCGCUGGCUCCGCCACUGCCUCUCCAUCCUUGAGUGACUUCCUAAGCCCACACCCAGGCUUCCAGGGCUCCUCUGAGAGCCCCCUGAAUGCAGGCGAGCUCCUCUAGUCACCCCUCUCUCUUGCCCUUCUUUAUUCCUCCAUGCCAGUUUACUCGCUCCCCAAAACAAAUCUUACCCUUUCACAGUUGACCUUAGUGGCCCUUGAGUCCAGAGCCACUGAAAUUCUGUAUCGGUUCCUCUUCCCUCCAGGACAAGGAGAGCUUAACUUCCUAUGUUAUGAGGCAGGGGAUAAUUACAUGCCAUCCUUCCAGCAGAGCAAAGAAAAUGAUUUAAAAAAAAAAAGUUUCACAUUAAAACAGGCAGAACAUUUCUAUUCUGCCAAUAUUUUAAUCCAUUGACUUUUUUUUAAGCGCCUACUGUAUGCCUGCUCAACGAGCUGG
rnacentral:lncRNA from 1 species